rnacentral:rRNA from 1 species
UACGAAGGGGGCUAGCGUUGCUCGGAAUUACUGGGCGUAAAGGGCUCGUAGGCGGUCCGUCACGUCGGGAGUGAAAACUUGGGGCUUAACCCCAAGCCUGCUUCCGAUACGGGCGGACUAGAGGUAGGCAGGGGAGAACGGAAUUCCUGGUGUAGCGGUGAAAUGCGUAGAUACUGGGAGGAACACCGGUGGCGAAGGCGGCUACCUGGACCGGUUCUGACGCUGAUGCGCGAAAGCGUGGGUAGCAAACAGG